AUCCAAAUGAUGAGUCUGAACAGGGACGAAAUGCGCGUCCUGGAU
rnacentral:hammerhead_ribozyme from 1 species